rnacentral:rRNA from 1 species
CAGUAGCCGCGGUAAUACGUAGGUGGCAAGCGUUGUCCGGAAUUAUUGGGCGUAAAGGGCUCGCAGGCGGUUUCUUAAGUCUGAUGUGAGAGCCCCCGGCUCAACCGGGGAGGGUCAUUGGAAACUGGGAAACUUGAGUGCAGAAGAGGAGGGUGGAAUUCCACGUGUAGCGGUGAAAUGCGUAGAGAUGUGGAGGAACACCAGUGGCGAAGGCGACUCUCUGGUCUGUAACUGACGCUGAGGAGCGAAAGCGUGGGGAGCGAACAGGAUUAGAUACCCCUGUAGUCCCUGUCUCUUAUAC